GAGGGGGAGCCAGGAAGCUGGGUAGCUAACUGCCUGUUUGCCCACCACUACACAGUAUCAGGCAGAAAGCAAGAGUUGCCUCUUCAAUGCCUUCUUCAGAUCGCACAGCAAGUAAUCUGCCAAGAAGUUGCUCAACUGAUCCCAGCCAUACCUAAAUAAAGAAGCAGUCCAUGACGUGAAGACUGGGCUGAACCUAUCUCCAGUCGGCCCUAGAGCCAGCACCCUUAGUAGCAGCAAGAAUCUGCUCUUCCAGAUACAAUCACACACACACAGUUGCAGCCACAGAGAAGCUGGGGCAGGAUCCCUUGAGCCCAGCCUGUGCUACACAGAAAAGCUCAUAAGCUCUGUCAUCUAAGAGUCAAGUGAAAUGUGAGCUUUCAAAGACAAAGUCUACAAUCCCAACCAUCACAGGACCACCACUGAAGUGGACCGUCUCUGGAACCCAUCCUCCCAUCUUGGGGAAAGGGCUUGGAGGUAGGGGGUCAGGGGCAAAUAAACAGACUCAUCCAAAAGCUA